CCUACGGGUGGCAGCAGUGAGGAAUAUUGGUCAAUGGACGCAAGUCUGAACCAGCCAAGUAGCGUGCAGGAUGACGGCCCUCCGGGUUGUAAACUGCUUUUAGUUGGGAAUAAAAGGGGGCUCGUGAGCCCCGUAUUGUAUGUACCAUCAGAAAAAGGACCGGCUAAUUCCGUGCCAGCAGCCGCGGUAAUACGGGGGAUGCGAGCGUUAUCCGGAUUUAUUGGGUUUAAGGGGUGCGUAGGCGGAAUGCCAAGUCAGCGGUAAAAUCGCGGGGCUCAACCUCGCACCGUCGUUGAAACUGGCGUUCUUGAGUGGGCGAGAAGGAGGCGGAAUGCGUGGUGUAGCGGUGAAAUGCAUAGAGAUCACGCAGAACUCCGAUUGCGAAGGCAGCAUACCGGCGCCCAACUGACGCUGAAGCACGAAAGCGUGGGUAUCGAACAGGAUUAGAUACCCCUGUAGUC
rnacentral:rRNA from 1 species